GAACGGCGCUAAGCGACUUAGAAUUAAAAAAGUCUGUACAUAGCGACAAAACAAUUGAAUUAUGAACGCUAGUACAUUAUUAUGCAGACAGGAGGAUAUGUGCUCGUUUAAAAAAUAAAUUUGGCGUUUAAAUGAGACACGCAGUUCUACCAUAAAGCGUCAAAACAAGAAGAUCCGCCGGGAAAUACCCUGGGGUUAAGCACUACGUGACCCGCAUCGCGAAAACUUAAAGUCCCAACUUGAAGAUACAUUUGGAAUCAUAAUUAGAGAAACUUGAAACUUGACAUCAUGUCCAAAUGAAAAUGCUCGCAAUUAAAAAGGAAAUCUUCAACAAUUAUUAAAUCGAUUUUGAAUAUAUUAAACUAGCUGCCCGUCUCGACUUCUUAUGAGUAAAUAAGGAUUUUAUCCCA